rnacentral:rRNA from 1 species
GUGUCAGCCGCCGCGGUAAUACGAAGGGGGCUAGCGUUGUUCGGAAUUACUGGGCGUAAAGCGCGCGCAGGCGGUUCGAUAAGUUAGGGGUGAAAUCCCCGGGCUCAACCCGGGAAUGGCCUUUAAGACUGUCGAGCUAGAGGACGAGAGAGGUGAGUGGAAUUCCCAGUGUAGAGGUGAAAUUCGUAGAUAUUGGGAAGAACACCGGUGGCGAAGGCGGCUCACUGGCUCGUUUCUGACGCUGAGGCGCGAAAGCGUGGGGAGCAAACAGGAUUAGAUACCCUGGUAGUCCACGCCCUAAACGAUGAGUGCCAGGUGUCGGGAAGCUUAGCUUCUCGGCGCCGCAGCUAACGCCUUAAGCACUCCGCCUGGGGAGUACGGCCGCAAGGUUAAAACUCAAAUGAAUUGGCGG